GGGGUCAUAGCUCAAAUGGCUAGAGCGCCUGCCUUGCAAGCAGGAGGUUAUGGGUUCAAUUCCCAUUGAUUCCAC
rnacentral:tRNA from 5 species